rnacentral:rRNA from 1 species
GAUGAACGCUGGCGGCGUGCCUAAUACAUGCAAGUCGAGCGAACAGACGAGGAGCUUGCUCCUCUGACGUUAGCGGCGGACGGGUGAGUAACACGUGGAUAACCUACCUAUAAGACUGGGAUAACUUCGGGAAACCGGAGCUAAUACCGGAUAAUAUAUUGAACCGCAUGGUUCAAUAGUGAAAGACGGUUUUGCUGUCUCUUAUAGAUGGAUCCGCGCGGCAUUAGCUAGUUGGUAAGGUAACGGCUUACCAAGGCAGCGAGGCGUAGCCGACGGGAGAGGGGGAUCGGCCACACUGGAACUGAGACACGGCCAAGACUCCUACGGGAGGCAGCAGUAGGGAAUCUUCCGCAAUGGGCGAAAGCCUGACGGAGCAACGCCGCGUGAGUGAUGAAGGUCUUCGGAUCGUAAAACUCUGUUAUUAGGGAAGAACAAAUGUGUAAGUAACUAUGCACGUCUUGACGGUACCUAAUCAGAAAGCCACGGCUAACUACGUG